UCCAGUUGAUCCUGCUGGAGGUUGCGGCUAUCUGGUUUGUACUUAGGCAUGCAAGUUUGUUGAAAGACGGCGAACUGCUCAGCAACACGUAGCUAACCUGCCCUAUGGUCAAGAAUAACCUCGGGAAACUGAGGCUAAAUCUUGAUAGGAGAUUUUUUCUGGAAAGAAUUAUCUCUGAAACUCGAGCCAUAGGAUGGGGCUGCGGCUGAUUAGGUUGUUGGCGGGGUAAUGGCCCACCAAGCCGAAGAUCAGUAAGGGCCUUUAGCGAGGGAGCCCUGAGAAGGAAUCUGAGACACUAUUCCUAGCCCCACGGGGUGCAGCAGUUGAGAAUCUUCUGCAAUGCGCGAAAGCGUGACAGAGCGAGCCAGAGUGUUUUUUCUAUUUUUAUGAGAAACUUUUGUCAACUGUAAAAAAGUUGACGAAUAAGGACCGGGUAAGACUGGUGCCAGCCGCCGCGGUAAUACCAGCGGUCCGAGUCGCAACCAUUUUUAUUGGGUCUAAAACAUCCGUAGCUUGUUUGGAAAGUUUCUUGUGAAAUUUCAAGUCUUAAGCUUGAAGCGAGCAAGAAAUACUACUAGACUUGAGACCGGAAGACGUAAGGAGUAUGAUAAAGGUAGUAGUAAAAUACGUUGAUCUUUGUCAGACUAACAAUAGCGAAGGCAUCUUACGAGUACGGAUCUGACAGUGAGGGAUGAAGGCUAGGGUCGCGGAAUGGAUUAGAUACCCAUGUAGUCCUAGCAGUAAACACUGCUGGGAGCUGUAGAGUGUGCUACCUGGGAAGUAUAGCCGCAAGGCCGAAACUUAAAGGAAUUGGCGGGGGAGCACUACAACAAGUGACGCGUGCGGUUCAAUUAGAUUUUACACCGUGAACCUCACCAGGAGCGACAGCAGAAUGAAGGUCAGUCUGAAGGGCUUACCUGACACGCUGAGAGGAGGUGCAUGGCCGACGUCAGCCUGUGUCGUAAGAUGACCUGUUAAAUCAGGUAACAGGCGAGACCCGUGUGUAUAUUUGCUAUCGAAAGAGGCACAAUAUAUAGACUGCCAUGGUAACAUGGAGGAAGGUGCGGGCUACGUUAGGUGAGUACGCCCCGAAUCCCCUGGGCUACACGCGCGCGGCAAUGCUGGAUUCAAUGAGAUGCAACUCUGAAAAGAGAAGCUAAUCCCAUAAACUCCAGCUCAGUACAGAUCGAACACUGCAACUCGUGUUCAUGACGAUGGAAUUUGUAGUAAUCGUUUGUUAUCAGCGAACGGUGAAUGAGUCCCUGCUCCUUGCACACACCGCCCGUCAAACCAACCGAGUUUUGCAUUGGCGAGACUUUUCGAAGACGAACCUUUGUAAGACAAGGUAGGUUAAGUCGGCACAAAGUA
rnacentral:rRNA from 1 species